UUUUUUUACAUCCACACAACCAUGAGCUUUUUCUUUGUUUUUUUCUUUCUUUUCUUUUUCUUUGCUCAAUAGAUUCAAGGGUGAUUUCUUUUUCUUGUUUCUUUUCAUACUUUCAACCUUUUAUAAAACAUCACUUUUCCAAGUUUCUAAUCAACUCUUUUUACUUUACUCUCCCCAACUUUAGAUUCCACAACCAAAUUUAUUCAAUAAUGCUCCCUACUUUGACAUAGGCAAAAGGCAAAAUUUGCAAACAAC
rnacentral:lncRNA from 1 species